UUUUUUUUUUCGCUCAGGAUGAACGCUGGCGGCGUGCCUAAUACAUGCAAGUCGAACGAGUUCUCGUUGAUGAUCGGUGCUUGCACCGAGAUUCAACAUGGAACGAGUGGCGGACGGGUGAGUAACACGUGGGUAACCUGCCCUUAAGUGGGGGAUAACAUUUGGAAACAGAUGCUAAUACCGCAUAGAUCCAAGAACCGCAUGGUUCUUGGCUGAAAGAUGGCGUAAGCUAUCGCUUUUGGAUGGACCCGCGGCGUAUUAGCUAGUUGGUGAGGUAAUGGCUCACCAAGGCGAUGAUACGUAGCCGAACUGAGAGGUUGAUCGGCCACAUUGGGACUGAGACACGGCCCAAACUCCUACGGGAGGCAGCAGUAGGGAAUCUUCCACAAUGGACGCAAGUCUGAUGGAGCAACGCCGCGUGAGUGAAGAAGGCUUUCGGGUCGUAAAACUCUGUUGUUGGAGAAGAAUGGUCGGCAGAGUAACUGUUGUCGGCGUGACGGUAUCCAACCAGAAAGCCACGGCUAACUACGUGCCAGCAGCCGCGGUAAUACGUAGGUGGCAAGCGUUAUCCGGAUUUAUUGGGCGUAAAGCGAGCGCAGGCGGUUUUUUAAGUCUGAUGUGAAAGCCCUCGGCUUAACCGAGGAAGCGCAUCGGAAACUGGGAAACUUGAGUGCAGAAGAGGACAGUGGAACUCCAUGUGUAGCGGUGAAAUGCGUAGAUAUAUGGAAGAACACCAGUGGCGAAGGCGGCUGUCUGGUCUGUAACUGACGCUGAGGCUCGAAAGCAUGGGUAGCGAACAGGAUUAGAUACCCUGGUAGUCCAUGCCGUAAACGAUGAAUGCUAGGUGUUGGAGGGUUUCCGCCCUUCAGUGCCGCAGCUAACGCAUUAAGCAUCC
rnacentral:rRNA from 1 species